rfam:Perkinsus marinus ATCC 50983 gcontig_1104296598148, whole genome shotgun sequence.
UUCCGCGUAGUAUAGAGGUUAGUAUUCCUGCCUGUCACGCAGGAGACCCGAGUUCAAUCUCGGCCGUGGAAG